rnacentral:rRNA from 1 species
AGCGAACGUUAGCGGCGGGCCUAACACAUGCAAGUCGAACGAGAAUAGGGGAGCAAUCCCCUUAGUAAAGUGGCGGACGGGUGCGUAACACGUGGGUAAUCUACCUUCCGGCGGGGGACAACAGUCCGAAAGGAUUGCUAAUACCGCAUACGUCAGCGAGGUCUACGGACCUUGUUGGGAAAGAUGGCCUCUCCUUGGAAGCUGUCACCGGAAGAUGAGCCCGCGUCCCAUCAGCUAGUUGGCGAGGUAAUGGCUCACCAAGGCAUAGACGGGUAGCUGGUCUGAGAGGAUGAUCAGCCACACUGGGACUGCGACACGGCCCAGACUCCUACGGGAGGCAGCAGUGGGGAAUAUUGGGCAAUGGGCGAAAGCCUGACCCAGCCACGCCGCGUGAGUGAUGAAGGCCUUCGGGUCGUAAAGCUCUGUGGGGAGGGACGAAUAAGUGCCGUACUAACACUACGGUGCCCUGACGGUACCUCCUUAGCAAGCACCGGCUAACCAUGUGCCAGCAGCCGCGGUAAUACAUGGGGUGCAAACGUUGCUCGGAAUUAUUGGGCGUAAAGCGCGCGUAGGCGGUUACUCAAGUCGGAUGUGAAAGCCCUCGGCUUAACUGAGGAAGUGCACCCGAAACUGAGUAGCUAGAGUACUAAAGAGGGUCGCGGAAAUUCCCGGUGUAGAGGUGAAAUGCGUAGAUAUCGAGAGGAACACCUGCGGCGAAAGCGGGUUGCUGGGCUGACACUGACGCUGAAGCGCGAAAGCUAGGGAGCGAACGGGAUUAGAUACCCCGGUAGUCUAGCCUAACGAUGAAUGCUGUGUCUGGGUUUAUAGUCCCGGGUGCGUCGCUACGCUUAGCAUCGCUGGN